rnacentral:lncRNA from 1 species
AGAUAAAUUUAUAGUUUAAAAAUUCUUUUAAGAUGUGAUUUUAUUUGAACUACAAUCUCAAAAAAUAUAUACUUCAAAAACAGGAGAAAGAAAUAAAGCAUAACGGAGUCCAAAUUCUCUUUUUCUAUUCUAUUUGAUUUCAAAAUUUCGAUAACAUAGUAAGCCUGUUUUCCAAAUUUUAUACUCUCAACUCCAACCCAAAAAACUAACUGCUCUGCAGAUACAACCGGUCCCCCUAUCUUUUUCCUUUGGUAAUAAUAAGUACUAAGCAAAACAAAUCGCUCAAUAACUCAGAUCACCUUAAACAAUUUGAUUUAGUUUCUAUAAUUUACAGUAAAGUAUGAACUUCAAAUUCAUUUAUAUCAAACAGAGGCUAAACGUUGAGAUAGUAUUACUUUGUCAAUGAAGGUCAACACGUUACAAUGGAAUCAUACAACUUAAUUUGUCACAUAUUGAACUUCUAUAUGUCAUCAACUUAAACAAUUUGAUUUAGUUUCUAUCAUUUACAGUAAAGUAUGAACUUCAAAUUCAUUUAUAUCAAACAGAGGCUAAACGUUGAGAUAGUAUUACUUUGUCAAUGAAGCUCAACACGUUACAAUGGAAUCAUUCAACUUAAUUUGUCACAUAUUGAACUUCUAUAUGUCAUCAAACUUUUAUUGCAUAUAAAAUGUGCAGUUACCAUGACUGAAAUUGCAAAGAAUUUCUUGACAUAGACCUCACCAGGGAAAC